rnacentral:rRNA from 1 species
GACGAACGCUGGCGGCGUGCCUAACACAUGCAAGUUGAGCGACGAACCAGGGCUUGCCCUGGGGCAAAGCAGCGAACGGGUGAGUAACACGUGGGUAACCUACCCCGAUAACCGGGACAACCCGAGGAAACUCGGGCUAAUACCGGAUGUGCUCACUGGACUUCGGUUCAGUGCGUAAAGGAAGCUUCGGCCUCCGUAUCGGGAGGGGCCCGCGGCCCAUUAGUUUGUUGGUGAGGUAACGGCUCACCAAGACCGCGAUGGGUAGCUGGUCUGGGAGGACGAUCAGCCACACUGGGACUGAGACACGGCCCAGACUCCUACGGGAGGCAGCAGUGGGGAAUCUUGCGCAAAGCGCGAAAGCGUGACGCAGCAACGCCGCGUGGGGGAAGAAGGCCUUCGGGUUGUAAACCCCUUUCAGGAGGGACGAAGGUUCGGCGGUGAAUAGCCGUCCGGACUGACGGUACCUCCACAAGAAGCCCCGGCUAACUACGUG